rnacentral:rRNA from 1 species
GACGAACGCUGGCGGCGUGCCUAAUACAUGCAAGUAGAACGCUGAAGAGAGGAGCUUGCUCUUCUUGGAUGAGUUGCGAACGGGUGAGUAACGCGUAGGUAACCUGCCUUGUAGCGGGGGAUAACUAUUGGAAACGAUAGCUAAUACCGCAUAACAAUGGAUGACCCAUGUCAUUUAUUUGAAAGGGGCAAUUGCUCCACUACAAGAUGGACCUGCGUUGUAUUAGCUAGUAGGUGAGGUAAUGGCUCACCUAGGCGACGAUACAUAGCCGACCUGAGAGGGUGAUCGGCCACACUGGGACUGAGACACGGCCCAGACUCCUACGGGAGGCAGCAGUAGGGAAUCUUCGGCAAUGGGGGCAACCCUGACCGAGCAACGCCGCGGGAGUGAAGAAGGUUUUCGGAUCGUAAAGCUCUGCUGUAAGUCAAGAGCGGGUGUGAGAGUGGAAAGUUCACACUGUGACGGUAGCUUACCAGAAAGGGACGGCUAACUACGUG